rnacentral:lncRNA from 1 species
UGUGGGGGUGACGCGGCAUGGGGACAGAGCCAACAACUGCUAGCCACCAUGGCUGGGAGGGAGCCACGGGACAAUGGACUUCCUGCAGGAAGGCAAGAGUUGAAGCAGGGGACCCAUGAGGAAACCACUGCGCUGGCCCAGGUGAGAGCUGAAGGGCCCCUGCCUGUGCUGGUAUGGAUGGAGACAGAGGAUUUGCAGGUAAGCCCAGCAGGACUUGCUGGGGGACCGAGGGUGGAGGACAAGGAAAAGGGGACUCAAGGAUGACUCCCAGAGUCUGAU